UACAGAGGUUGCAAGCGUUAAUCGGAUUUACUGGGCGUAAAGCGUGUGUAGGUGGUUGUACAAGUCGGUUGUGAAAUCCCUGGGCUCAACCUGGGAACUGCUUCCGAGACUGCACGACUAGAGAUCGGUAGAGGGCGGUGGAAUUUCCGGUGUAGCGGUGAAAUGCGUAGAUAUCGGAAGGAACAUCAGUGGCGAAGGCGACUUUCUGGACAAAUACUGACACUGAGGCACGAAAGCGUGGGGAGCAAACAGG
rnacentral:rRNA from 1 species